CCUACGGGAGGCUGCAGUGAGGAAUAUUGGUCAAUGGACGAGAGUCUGAACCAGCCAAGUAGCGUGAAGGAUGACUGCCCUAUGGGUUGUAAACUUCUUUUAUAUGGGAAUAAAAUGUUCCACGUGUGGGAUUUUGUAUGUACCAUAUGAAUAAGGAUCGGCUAACUCCGUGCCAGCAGCCGCGGUAAUACGGAGGAUCCGAGCGUUAUCCGGAUUUAUUGGGUUUAAAGGGAGCGUAGGUGGAUUGUUAAGUCAGUUGUGAAAGUUUGCGGCUCAACCGUAAAAUUGCAGUUGAAACUGGCAGUCUUGAGUACAGUAGGGGUGGGCGGAAUUCGUGGUGUAGCGGUGAAAUGCUUAGAUAUCACGAAGAACUCCGAUUGCGAAGGCAGUUCACUGGACUGCAACUGACACUGAGGCUCGAAAGUUGGGUAUCAAACAGGAUUAGAUACCCUAGUAGUC
rnacentral:rRNA from 1 species